rnacentral:rRNA from 1 species
CGAACACAUGGGUGGCGACUGUCUAAAUAUAUUNUUCCUAACUUUUUAAUCAAGUGAAAAUACUUGUGCUAAUAAAAAAGACGAGAAGACCCUAGAAACUUGAAAAGUUUUUUGUUGGGGCGACAGAGUUACAUGUAACUAAUUUUAUUAAACAUGACAUUAAUUAGAAAGGAUAAGUUACUCUAGGGAUAACAGCAUAAUUUUAAUAGGUUUGUGACCUCGAUGUUGGAUUUAGGUUACUAUACCCCUUUUAGGCAA